GCCCCAGUGGCCUAAUAGACACAGCAUUGGCUGCCCAAGCCAGAGAUUGUGGGUUUGAAUCCCACCUGGGGUG
rnacentral:tRNA from 1 species